GACGAACGCUGGCGGCGUGCUUAACACAUGCAAGUCGAACGGAAAGGCCCUGCUUUUGUGGGGUGCUCGAGUGGCGAACGGGUGAGUAACACGUGAGUAACCUGCCCUUGACUUUGGGAUAACUUCAGGAAACUGGGGCUAAUACCGGAUAGGAUCUCCUGCUGCAUGGUGGGGGUUGGAAAGUUUCGGCGGUUGGGGGUGGACUCGCGGCUUAUCAGCUUGUUGGUGGGGUAGUGGAUUACCAAGGCUUUGACGGGUAGCAGGCCUGAGCGGGUGACCGGCCACGCUGGGACUGAGAUAAGGCACGGCCUCGACCGGGAGGGAACGGUGGGGAAUAUUGCACAAGGGGCGGAAGCAUGAUGUAGCAACGCCGCGUGCGGGAUGACGGCCUUCGGGUAGUAAACCGCUUUCGCCUGUGACGAAGCGUGAGUGACGGUAAUGGGUAAAGAAGCACCGGCUAACUACGUG
rnacentral:rRNA from 1 species